rnacentral:lncRNA from 1 species
UCAUUGUAUUUUCACCUUUUCUCACCCCUUUUCCUUUCCCCAUCUCUCUGCAGGGUGCUCCAGGAGAAGCAGGCAUGUCUAUCAUUGGGCCCCGUGGUCCACCCGGACAGCCUGGAACAAGAGGUUUUCCUGGAUUCCCGGUAAGUGUAACUGCUAGAUUGAUGAGGUACGUGUGUGUGGUAUUACUAUGAAGUGUCAUUAGUGCUUGCUGUACCUUAUCAUCUGUCUGAUGCCAAGGAUCUGAUCUGAUACUCCUGGAAAAAGUAAUUUUUUCUUCAUUUGCUUUCUUUUUUUUAUGUUUCUUUUUUUCUUUCCUUUUUUUUUUUUUUUUUUUUUAAAUUUUAAGUGAUGCUUAGGGAAAAAAAAAACAAAACAAACUAACCGUAGUAUGCUAAAAGGAAAUUAAUUUAAAAAAACAAAAACAUAAGUGUUAAAAUAACAUAGUUGAAGCCCAAUCGGUUUAGUAAAAGAAAACCAUCCUGAGAAAAUACUCCCCAAACAAAGAAAAUAACCCUUGGGUACGUGAAAUUCCAACCUUAGUUGAGCUUUUAGGUGAUUUUGUAGUAGCAGUGAGCAUCUGAAAUCCAAACAGGG